rnacentral:misc_RNA from 1 species
UUUGGAAAAAUAUGGCAAUCCAUUUCCGGAAAGUGGAACAACGACGAGAAAUCAUGCAAGAAAACAACCCAAUUAAGUAACCAUGACUCCAUUGAAAUUAGAGCACUAUUCCUUCAAAACGCUCUGCUCUGACCUUGUGGUGGGAUCGUGAUCAUUCCCUUCAAAUUAAAUGUUACCAGAAGCUCUGAAGCCACAUUGAUGAUGAACAAUAUAUAGGCAUGAUUUCAAGAAUUUGGAACAUUUUAAUUUUAACUUUCUUGUAUAACAUCAUUUGCCAUUGUAGAAUCAAUAAUUAAUUAGGUGAGAACUCUAGUAUAUAUAUGAUGUAUUAUUAUAAAUAAAAAAUCAGUUGUUUAAUAUGUGAAA